CGGCGGACGGGUGAGUAAUGUAUGGGGAUCUGCCUGAUGGGCGGGGGAUAACUACUGGAAACGGUAGCUAAUACCGCAUAAUGUCUACGGACCAAAGCGGGGGACCUCCGGGCCUCGCGCCAUCAGAUGAACCCAUAUGGGAUUAGCUAGUAGGUAAGGUAACGGCUUACCUAGGCGACGAUCCCUAGCUGGUCUGAGAGGAUGAUCGGCCACACUGGGACUGAGACACGGCCCAG
rnacentral:rRNA from 1 species